GUGCCAGCAGCCGCGGUAACACCAGCACCCCGAGUGGUCGGGAUGAUUAUUGGGCCUAAAGCAUCCGUAGCCGGUGUAACAAGUCCUCCGUUAAAUCCACCUACUUAACAGGUGGGCUGCGGAGGAUACUGUUACACUAGGAGGCGGGAGAGGCGGGGGGUAUUCCACGGGUAGGGGUAAAAUCCUCUGAUCCGUGGAGGACCACCCGUGGCGAAGGCGCCUCGCCAGAACGCGCUCGACGGUGAGGGAGGAAAGCUGGGGGAGCAAACCGGAUUAGAUACCCGGGUAGUCCCAGCCGUAAACGAUGUAGGCUCGGUGAUGGACUGGCUCCGAGCCAGUCCAGUGCCGCAGGGAAGCCGUUAAGCCUACCGCCUGGGGAGUACGGCCACAAGGCUGAAACUUAAAUGAAUUGACGGGG
rnacentral:rRNA from 1 species